AUCGCUUCUCGGCCUUUUGGCUAAGAUCAAGUGUAGUAUAAAAGAGAGACAAAGAAGCUGUAGGGAGCAGAAAAAGCAGUUAGACUUCUCCUUACCAUGGGAUGGAACAAGUUUUUCCUUAAAAGCAAGGCUAAAGAGAACCAGAUUUUUGUCUUACAAACUUCGGUUUAAUUCAUUAAGCACUAAGAGGGUAGAAGCUUUU
ensembl:snRNA LOC120097630 U2 spliceosomal RNA